ensembl:lncRNA
GUGUGACCUGAGGGACAAGUGUGUGACCUGAGGUAGGAAGGCAAGGGUGUGUGUGUGUGUGUGUGUGUGUGUGUGUGUGUGUGUGUGUGUGUGUGUGUGUGUGUGUGACCUGAGGGGGCAAGGAUACAUUCUUGAGAAAUAUGCAGGGAGCAGGGACGCUAAAGGUUAGCAGGGACGCUAAAGGUUAGCAGAGACGCUAAGGGUUAGCAGGGACGCUAAGGGUUAGCAGGGACGCUAAAAACACUAAGGGUUAGCAGGGACGCUAAGGGUUAGCAGAGAAGCUAAGGGUUAGCAGGGACACUAAGGGUUAGCAGGGACGCUAAAGACGCUAAGGGUUAGCAGGGACGCUAAGGGUUAGCAGGGACGCUAAACACACUAAGGGUUAGCAUGGACGCUAAGGGUUAGCAGGGACGCUAAAGACGCUAAGCGUUAGCAGGGACGCUUAGGGUUAGCAGGGACACUAAAGACGCUAAGGGUUAGCAGGGACGCUAAAGACACUAAGGGUUAGCAGGGACGCUAAGGGUUAGAAGGGACGCUAAAGACACUAAGGGUUAGCAGGGACGCUAAGGGUUAGCAGGGACGCUAAAGACGCUAAGGGUUAGCAGGGACGCUAAAGACACUAAGGGUUAGCAGGGACGCUAAGGACGCUAAGGGUUAGCAGGGACGCUAAGGACACUAAGGGUUAGCAGGGACGCUAAAGAUGCUAAGGGUUAGCAGGGACGCUAAGGGUUAGCAGGGACGCUAAGGGUUAGCAGGGACGCUAAGGGUUAGCAGGGACGCUAAAGACCCUAAGGGUUAGCAGGGACGCUAAGGGUUAGCAGGGGCGUUAAAGACGCUAAGGGUUAGCAGGGACGCGUAAGACGCUAAGGGUUAGCAGGGACGCUAAAGGUUAGCAGGGACGCUAAAGACGCUAAGGGUUAGCUGGGACGCUAAGGGUUAACAGGGACGCUAAAGACACUAAAGCAGCUUGCACACUGCCCCGACAAACGCCAACAUUCUCCAACUAACGCCAACAAACACCAACAGUCGGGUCAGUGUGCGCCGGCAGUUGGUGUUAGUUGGAGAAUGUUGGCGUUAGUCGGGUAUUGUCGGAAGAGUUCAACAUGUUUAGUCGGAUCGGGUCGGAUCGGGUAAAGUUUCCAACGAACUCCAACAUUCUGACAGCUCAUUACCUUGACAACUAGGCUAAACUUGCGUGCAUAACAUCCUCGAGCUCUCUUGGAUGUCGAAGUUAUGGUGGUUAUCAGCCAGUUUGUUAAAAAAACGACAUCCUAAAUCUAUUUUUAGAUUAACUUUAUGUAUUAUCUUCCCCAAACGAACGGUUUUCGAGACAUAUAUUAGUCUAUUUCAACUUCUACGACUCGUUUAACACUGCAAGAAAACAUGUUUCUAAAUAUUGUAACAAAUCACGGAAGCGUGAAAUAUUUGUUAUGGCUUUUUAUUAAACACUAAACACAACACAAUGUUAAAAUGGCACGGGCUUUAUGCCCUGGUACAAGUUAUCACGAACAGACUGUGCUACCGUCACACACCUGUAUAACCUCUGUCCCAACACAGAACAACGACAUGUAAUUAGAACGGUAAGGAACAUUGUUAGGGAACAUCAUUGAGCGCUAGUGCAUCACAUAGAGAUACAGUAUGCGCCCACAGGCACCGUUCUUGUUAAGGCCAGAAGUGGCAGGACAAGAAAAAUAUUGGAGGCAAAGGCAAAGGAUGGUCAGAAUGGUCAAAGACUACCAUCAGACCACCUCCAAAGUGCAAUUCAGCGCACCUUGCACAAAGAACAGCUGUAUGAGAGAGUGAUGCGGACGAAGCCAUUUCUGGACACACGCCACAAACAAGCUCCCUUAAGCUAUA